GGGAACUUAGCUCAGUUGGUAGAGCAGUAGAUUGAAGAUUUAUGUGUCUCAGGUUCAAUUCCUGAAGUUCCCG
rnacentral:tRNA from 1 species